AUUGUUUCACCGGUGGAAUUGGAUUCCCUCGUAAGUGGUACUCUCCACGGGAAUGAUGUGAACUGGUGUCACUGGUGGCUGGCUCCCGCAUGCGUAGUAGCACCGCUGUUCUGCAAAUGUCGAGGAGAUCAGUCAGAGGACUUGAGCUGACCCCGUUACGACCAAAUUUCCUGACUUUUAUAAACAUACAUAACCUAGAAAUGAAAAAUGUAGUGUUUCCAUUGGAAAUGAACAUUUUAUAAAAUAUUAAAUGCUGGAAUAUUGUCAAUAUCGAGGUACUCAGACGAAAAUCCGAGAAAAGUGAACAAUUACUGUGGGCAAGAUGGCGGCGGCGUAGGAAAAUUGCAGCUCAACUGUCGGUAACAGGGACUCACAAACAGACCACAACUGAUAACAUAUGACUCAAAGUUAAUUGUUGUUUGUAGUGUCAAAGUACUGAUACACGAAAAGGGACUUUCCAAGCACAUGUUCGAAGAAUAAAAAUUUGGUCAAAAUUGAGAGGCUCUCUUCAGGUUCAACAAUUGACGGAAGACCAAAGGAUCAAUGGAUGCAAUUUGGUUUUUGCUUAAAUCCCUGAAACGUUAAAAGAAUGAAUGGAUUAAUGACCAGCAGAAUCCAAAUGGAUAUUUGGUAUGUUGUACUCACAAUCUU